rnacentral:rRNA from 1 species
ACCCUACUAUACCCAACCACAACAUACAAUCAAAUUACCAAUUGUUCGCCAAACAACUACGAGUAGUAACUUAAAACUUAAAAGACUUGACGGUACUUCACCACAACCUAGAGGAGCCUGUCUAAUAACCGAUAACCCACGUUUAACCCAACCCCCUCUUGCCAACAGUCUAUAUACCACCGUCGCAAGCUUACCUUGUAAAAGAAACAAAGUAAGCUAAAUAGCAUUUCACUAAAACGACAGGUCGAGGUGUAACUCAUGAGCGGGACCUAGAUGGGCUACAUUCUCCCCUUGGAGAAUACGAACAACACCACGAACUAGGUGUUUGAAGGAGGAUUUAGCAGUAAGAUGGGGAUAAAAUACCCAACUGAACACAACGCAAUGAAGUGCGUACACACCGCCCGUCACCCCUGUAACAAUAAACUUAUAUCCAUAAACCCACUAUAAAUAACAACCA